GAUGAACGCUGGCGGCGUGCCUAAUACAUGCAAGUCGAGCGGACGGACGAUACGCUUGCUUCUCUGAUGUUAGCGGCGGACGGGUGAGUAACACGUGGAUAACCUACCUAUAAGACUGGUAUAACUUCGGGAAACCGGAGCUAAUACCGGAUAAUAUUUUGAACCGCAUGGUUCAAAAGUGAAAGACGGUCUUGCUGUCACUUAUAGAUGGAUCCGCGCUGCAUUAGCUAGUUGGUAAGGUAACGGCUUACCAAGGCAACGAUGCAUAGCCGACCUGAGAGGGGGAUCGGCCACACUGGAGCUGAGACACGGUCCAGACUCCUACGGGAGGCAGCAGUAGGGAAUCUUCCGCAGUGGGCGAAAGCCUGACGGAGCAGCGCCGCGUGAGUGAUGAAGGUCUUCGGAUCGUAAAACUCUGUUAUGAGGGAAGAACAUAUGUGUAAGUAACUGUGCACAUCUUGACGGUACCUAAUCAGAAAGCCACGGCUAACUACGUG
rnacentral:rRNA from 1 species